rnacentral:tRNA from 1 species
GAUUGUGGCUCAGAGGUACAGCGCUCCCCUAGCAUGCGUGAGGCACUGGGUUCAAUCCUCAGCGCUGCA